CAUGAUGGAUAGCUCAGUUGGUAUAGCAUGAGUCUCUUAAUCUCAGGGUCGUGGAUUCAAGCCCUACGGGGGGGG